rnacentral:rRNA from 1 species
AUUGAACGCUGGCGGCAUGCCUUACACAUGCAAGUCGAACGGUAACGGGCCUUCGGGUGCCGACGAGUGGCGAACGGGUGAGUAAUACAUCGGAACGUGCCCGAUCGUGGGGGAUAACGAGUCGAAAGCUUUGCUAAUACCGCAUACGAUCUACGGAUGAAAGCAGGGGACCGCAAGGCCUUGCGCGGACGGAGCGGCCGAUGGCAGGUUAGGUAGUUGGUGGGAUAAAAGCUUACCAAGCCGACGAUCUGUAGCUGGUCUGAGAGGAUGAUCAGCCAAACUGGGACUGAGACACGGCCCAGACUCCUACGGGAGGCAGCAGUGGGGAAUUUUGGACAAUGGGCGCAAGCCUGAUCCAGCCAUGCCGCGUGCAGGAUGAAGGCCUUCGGGUUGUAAACUGCUUUGGUACGGAACGAAAAGCCUUCUUUUAAUACAGGAGGGUCAUGACGGUACCGUAAGAAUAAGCACCGGCUAACUACGUG